CCAAGGAGCCUAACACGUACGCAAGUCGCACGGUCUUGUUCAGGCCUGUGAGGCGCAAUGAAGAUAAACUGCUAUGAAGCUGCCUCUUGACGGGGGCAGCCACAGUAGCGGCCUGCCUACUUUCUCUAUUCGGGGAUAUGGUGGAGCUGGAGCGUAUGCGUUGGUACCCGAAAGAUGGUGAACUAUGCCUGGGCAAGACGAAGCCAGAGGAAACUCUGGUGGAGGUCUGUAGCGAUUCUGACGUGCAAAUCGAUCGUCAGACCUGGGUAUAGGGGCGAAAGACUAAUCGAACCAUC
rnacentral:rRNA from 1 species